rnacentral:tRNA from 1 species
GUCCAUGGCUCAGUGGCAGAGGGUGUGCUUUGAAUGCAGGUGGCCUCAGGUUCAAACCCUGGCAUCUCCA